rnacentral:rRNA from 1 species
GAUGAACGCUAGCUACAGGCUUAACACAUGCAAGUCGCGGGGCAGCAUGGGGGUUGCUUGCAAUCCCCGAUGGCGACCGGCGCACGGGUGAGUAACGCGUAUCCAACCCGCCCUUCACCACGGGAUAACCCGGCGAAAGUCGGACUAAUACCGUAUGUUGUCCAUUGACGGCAUCCGAUUUGGACGAAAGGUUUGGCGGUGAAGGAUGGGGAUGCGUCCGAUUAGCUGGACGGCGGGGUGACGGCCCACCGUGGCGACGAUCGGUAGGGGUUCUGAGAGGAAGGUCCCCCACACUGGAACUGAGACACGGUCCAGACUCCUACGGGAGGCAGCAGUGAGGAAUAUUGGUCAAUGGGCGUAAGCCUGAACCAGCCAAGUAGCGUGCAGGAUGACGGCCCUAUGGGUUGUAAACUGCUUUUAUGCGGGGAUAAAGUGGCCCACGUGUGGGUUUUUGCAGGUACCGCAUGAAUAAGGACCGGCUAAUUCCGUG